CCUCUGAAGUUUCCCUCAGGAUAGCUGGUGCUCUCGCAGAACCAACCCCAUGCAGUUUUAUCUGGUAAAACAAAUGAUUAGAGGUCUUGGGGCCGAAGUGAUAACAA
rnacentral:miRNA from 1 species